GAAAAUGAAACCGGGUAAAGGCGCCUGGGCCUCUCCCAGGUCAAGGGUCUCGGGGUCCCGCGGUUUCGGGGAGGAUCUCGGACCCAGAGACUCGAGGCGACCCGGCCCUCCGUGGGGGAUGGGGAGGGGUCGUGACCUGCGUCCCGGGCCGGGGUCACUCACCGCCCUCGCUCUGGUUGUAGUAGCGGAGCGCGAUCCGCAGGUUCUCUCGUUCAGUCCGUGCUUGGGCCUUGCAGAUCUGUGUGUUCCGGUCCCAAUACUCCGGCCCCUCCCGCUCCAUCCACGGCGCCCGCGGCUCCUCUCUCGGACUCGCGUCGUCGCUGUCGAACCGCACGAACUGCGUAUAGUCCACGUAGCCGACGGAGAUGAAGCGGGGCUCCCCGCGGCCGGGCCGGGACAUGGUGGUGUAGAAAUACCUCAUGGAGUGGGAGCCUGGGAGCGAGGAGGAGCUGAGACCCGCCCGACCCUCCUCCCUGCGCGGCUCCCUGGGUCCUGCGCCCCCGCCGGGCGGGCCCCUCGCUCCUCCCGACCAUUUCCCUGCAGACCCUGCACUCACGCGCCCAGGUCUGGGUCAGGGCCCCUGAGAGCAGCAGGAGGAGGGUUCGGGGCGCCAUGAGCACCAUCCUCGGCGUCUGGGGAGAAUCUGAGUCCCGGUGGGUGCGUGGGGACUUUAGAACCGGGACCGCGGCGGCACCGAUUGGCUUCUCUAGAAACCCGACACCUAGUGGGAAUGAGAACUGUGCCCGCUUCGUGAGUAUCCAGGAAAAAGGACCCGUCGCAGGUUGUGAGAAGAAGAGAAACUGCGGAGGUGGCGAAUCCCCAAGGCGGGGCCUCCCCAAUCCAUACACCGCCUUCGGGGCCUGAGACCCUGAGAGCCACGCCUGGGGCCCUGGGACUUCGCCCUGACCCCGCUCCUCCUGUGCCAAGCGCUCUGUCUCAGUGUUUCCCUGAGUCUUGGCCCAGGAGCUGUCUGAGAAACCAGGAAGAAACCCUCGGCAUGGGCCCUGUCCCUCUCCCUUCACUUUUCAUCCAGGAAUCUCCGUCCCUGAACUGGACUCCCUGUCCACCUGGACUCUUCUAGAAGAAAAGUCACCCACGGAGUUUGGUGACAGAGAGUGAGCUUGCUUUGGGAAUGGAGUGGUCCUGCUCCUGGGAGUCGGAGUGUGUCAUCUCUCCACUUAAAACACUCCAGUGUCUCCACCUCGGUCUUGAGAAACUUCUGGAGUGUCAGGCACGUGAGCAUAUGAGGGGAUAUCUGGUUUAUCGUAGGGACUAAAUUAAUUUUUGUCGACUGAAUGAAUGAAAUAUGAGUGUAUUAAAUUGCAUUACAGAUAAUUACAAAGUGCAAAACACGGAAAAAGUUCAGAAAAUUUUUAUUUUAUGUAACUAGUGUGCAUAUCAAUUCAUCAAUUCAUUCGUGCACUACCAUGCCUGGCGAAACAACACCCAUUUAUCUGCUUAUAGUUCCUUGAUCAGAAAUCUGGGCAAAAUUGUGGAUGGAAUCUCUCUUCUGGGCUUCCAAAAGCUGUGUUUUCAUUUUGAAUCCUCCUUCAGGCUUAUACAGAGGUGGCAGAAUGCAGUUUCUGGCAGUUGUAAGACUGAGGUCCCUGUUCCUUGCUGGCUGUCAAUGUAGAGAACAGGGAGGGCUGUGCUCGAUUCCUGGUCCUCACCAGCAUUCUUUCCUACACAGCCCCUUCAUUUUUUAUUUUAUUUAUUUAUUUUUUGGAGAUGGAGUCUUGCUCUGUAGCCCAGGCUUGGGUGCAGUGGCCGGAUCUCGGCUCACUGCCAGCUAUGGCUCCCAGGUUCACGCCAUUCUCCUGUCUCAGCCUCCCAAGCAGCUGGGACUACAGGCACCCGCCACUACGCUUGGCUAAUUUUUUUUUUUUUUUUUUUGUAUUCUUAGUAGAGACAGGGUUUCACCAUGUUAGCCAGGAUGGUCUCAAUCUCCUGACCUCAUGAUCCGCCCGCCUCAGCCUCCCAAAGUGCUGGGAUUACAGGCGUGAGGCACCGCACCUGGCCCACAGCCCUUUCAUUUUCAAAGCCCAUGCUGGAGGAAACCCCUCAUGCUGAGUCCCUCUCACACUGUGAGUCUCUAUGCUCAGGAAGAACCCAGUCCUUUCAAGGUCUCACCUGAUUAGGACAGUCCAAGCAGGAUAAACCCAGCCUAAAGUCAACUAAUUGAGACCCUUAAUUAUAUCCACUAACUCCCUUCACAGCAGCACCUACAUUAGAGUUGAUUGAAUAACUGGAGGAUGGUGAAUGACCAGGAGCUGGUUGUUGAGGGCAUAAUAGAAUCAGCCUAGCAAGGGUUGGAUCUUCCUUUUGUGUUUACUUCGGACACAGUUGGAAAUUGAAGUUCAAGUAAAGUGAUCAUUGUGAAUGGUCAUAAAAUACAUCCUCUUCAGCCAUGGAAAUUCUCCUUACCUUUUAAAACUAAGUUACAUGUUUAAUAUCUUAUAAUUAAUUUACGCCAGGUAUGGUGGCUCACGCCUGCCAUCCUAGCACUGUGGAAGGCAGAGGAAGGCAGAUUUGUUGACUCCAGAAGUUCAAGAUCAGCCUGGGCAAAACCCCCAUCUAUACAAAAAAUUAGAAAAUUAGCCAGGCAUAGUAGUUCAUGAUGGUAGUCCCAGCUACUCAGGAGGCUGAGAUCAGUGGGUCCCUUGAACCCAGGAGGUCGACACUGCAGUGCAUGGUGAUCAUGCCACUGCACUCCAGCCUGGGUGACAGAGCGAGACUGUGUCUCAAAAAUAAUAAUGAUGACGAUGAUACAUUUAAAGCAAAUGCAAUUUAAUGUGUAAUAAUACAUCCUCUCUUGUGAAAAUGUGUUAUUUAUUUACUAUUGCAUAACAAAUUAUGUAAAACUUAGCUUAAAACAACAAAUAUUCCUCAUCUGCCACAGUUUCCAAUGGUCAGGAGUCCAGGAGAGGUUUCCCUGAGUGCUUCUUGCUCGGGGCCUCUCACAAGGUUGCAGUCCAAUUGUCAGCCAAGGGCUGCAUCAUCUGAGGGCUUCACUGGGGCUGAGGAUUCACAUGAAACAUGGAUCAGUCACAUGGCUGUUGGAAAAGGCCUAGUUCUUUGUUGUCUGGUCCCGGAAGGCCUCAGUUCUCAGCCACAUGGACCUUCCUGCAGGGCUGCUUGUGGCACAGCAGCUGGCUUCCCCCAGAGCUCAUGAUCCCAGAGACAGAGAGAGAGAAGGUGGAAGCCGCAGUGAGUUUUAGGUUCUACACCCAGAGUUACAAACCAUUAUGUCAGCAUUAUUCUAUAAGUUAGAAGUUAUAUUAGUCCAUUCUCACACUGCUAUGAAGAAGUACCUGAGACUGGGUAAUUUAUAAAGGAAAGAGGUUUAAUUGACUCACAGUUCUGCAUGGCUGAGGAGCCUGCCCCAGGAAACUUACAGUCAUGGCAGAAGUGGAAGCAAACACAUCCUUCUUCACAUGAUGACAGGAGAGAGAAGUGCAGAAUGAAGCAGGGAAAAGCCCCUUAUAAAACCAUCAGAUCUCAUGAGAAUUCCCUCAGUAUCACGAGAACAGCAUGGGGGCACCACCCCCAUUAUCCAAUCACCUCCCAUGUGGUCCCUCCCCCAAUAGGUAGCGAUUACAAUUCGCAUAACAAUUCAAGAUGAGAUUUGGGUGGGAACACAGAACCAGGCCAUAUCAGAAGUGCCUCAUUAAGUCCAAGCCACACUCAGGAGAGGGAAUUAAGAUGCACCUCUGGAAGGGAACAGUAUCAAAUGUUUUGAAUAUAUGUUAAAAGCAAAAUUAUAACUAUUGUUUCAGGUUUUUGAAAAUCAAAGACUUCUUUUAUCUAAUUAUUUUUCAUUAACUCUUUCAGCUUGUCUUUUUCUUUAAGCUUGUCUUUUAAUUUAAUUUUUUUUAAGUUCCAGGGUACACGUGCAGGAUGUGCAGGUUUGUUACAUAGGUAAACAUGUGCCAUGUUGGUUUGCUGCACCUGUCAACUCAUCACCUAGGUAUUAACCCUGGCAUGCAUUAGCUAUUUUUGCUAAUGAUCCUCCCACCACCACCCUGCCCCAAUAGGCCCCAGUGUGUGUUGUUCCUCUCCCUGUGUCCAUGUGUUCUCAUUACUCAGUUCCCAAUUAUAAAUGAGAACAUGUGGUGUUUGGUUUUCCGUUCCUGUGUGAGUUUGCUGAGGAUAAUGGCUUCCAGCUUCAUCCAUAUCCCUGCAAAGGACUUGAUCUCCUUCCUUUUUAUGGCUGCAUAAUAUUCCAUGGUGUAUAUGUACCACAUUUUCUUUAUCCAGUUCAUCAUUGAUGGGCAUUUGGGUUGAUUCCAUGUGUUUGCUAUUGUGAAUAGUGCUGCCAUGAAUGUAAACAUGCAUGUAUCUUUAUAAUAGAAUGAUUUGUAUUCCUUUGGGUAUAUACCCUGUAAUGCGAUUGCUGGAUCAAAUGGUAUUUCUGAUUCUAAAUCUCUGAGGAAUCACCACACUGUCACUGUCUUCCACAAUGGAUUAACCGAUUGACUUUUCCACCAACAGUGUAAAAGCAUUCCUAUUUCUCUGCAACCUCGCCAGCAUCUGUUGUUUCUUGACUUUUUAAUAAUUGCCAUUCUGACUGACAUGAGAUGGUAUCUCAUUUGUGGUUUUGAUUUGCAUUUCUCUAAUGAUCAGCGAUGUUGAGCUUUUUUUCAUAUUUUUGUUGGCCACAUGUAUGUCUUCUUUAGAAGUGUCUGUUCAAGUUCUUUGUCUACUUUUUAAUGAAGUUUUUUUUUCAUGUAAAUUUGCUUAAGUUCUUUGUGGAUUCUGAAUACUAGACUUUUGUCAGAUGGAUAGACUGCAAAAUUUUUCUCCCAUUCUGUAGGAUGUCUGUUCACUGUGAUUGAUGAUAGUUUCUUUUGCUGUGCAGAAAAAAAUGCCUAUCAAAUUGCUUUUCAUUUACAAAAAUGUGAAUCUCAUACUUCAGUAAACUUUAUUUUACUUUAGUAAAAAUUAUUAGCAUGAUGCCAAUAAUUUUGGCUUGAUGCUGUAGCCCGAAAUGGUUAGUUCUAAUUGAGAAACAAGUUUUUUUCAAAAACUGGCUAUUUGACGGGCAUUCUAUAAUAAACUUAACAUCUUUUGUUGUGGUAUUGAAUGAGAUGUGAUAGAAGUGAUUUGGACACCACUAUGAUUCUAAAUAGUGCUGCUAUUACAUGCUUCUGAAUUUUUUUUUCUUUUUAGCAGUCCUAUUCUGUUUUCCAUUCAUAUUUGCUAUUCCAUCACUGGGUAUUCCUCCCUACUCUUUUCAUGUUUCAUUUAUUUUGAUCAAUGAUGUGCAUUUCCAAUCUGUAAAAGUUUAUUUCAGUUUAAUGUGUGGUAAAAUGUAACAUCAAAUCUUUGGAAGAUGAAAUUAUCUUGCACAGCAGAUUGAACAUUGUAUCAUUGAAAAUCUAGAGAGAUGCCAGGGAGCCAAGGAUCAAAUGACCUAUUUGUAGCCAAUGCCAUUUUCAUGGCAUCCUGGUCCUCUCUGUCACAUGGCUCCUUACAAUUCUCUGUGGUUUUCUUCCAAUGUAAGUAGUUCUUGUUAAGAAUCUUUGCAAUGAACUUUGAAAUUCUUUUCUUUUUCAUUUCUAUAAAAAACAGGUAUAUUUUAAUUUGGAAAACUCUGUUUAAGGAAUUAUAAUCAAGUAUCUACCAGGGUGCCCAGCACUGGUGUAAAACACAAACCUGUAAAGCUACCCUGGGCUGCUACCCAGUCACCCCAUAGAAGGAGACCGUUGGGAGCAAGUCCCCCAAAAUCUGGCCAUAAACUGGCCCCAAGACUGGCCAUAAACAAAAUCUCUGCAGCACCGUAACAUGUUCAUAAUGGCCCUAAUGUCCAAGCUGGAAGGUUGCGGGUUUACAAGAAUGAGGGAAAGGAACACCUGGCCUGCCCAGGGCGGAAAACCGCUUAAAGGCAUUCUUAAGCCACAAACAAUAGCAUGAGCGAUCUGUGUCUUAAGGGUGUGUUCCUGCUGCAGUUAACUAGCCCAACCUAUUCCUUUAAUUCGGCCCAUCCCUUUGCUUCCUAUAAGGGAUACUUUUAGUUAAUUUAAUACCUAUAGAAACAACACUAAUGACCGGUUUGCUGUUAAUAAAUAUGUGGGUAAAUAUCUGUUUGGGGCUCUCAGCUCUGAAGACUGUGAGACCCCCGAUUUCCCACUUCACACCUCUAUAUUUCUGUGUGUGUGUCUUUAAGUCCUCUAGCACCACUGGGUUAGGGUCUUCCUGACCGAGCUGGUCUCGGCAGGAGACUCCAUCCUGAGUCUUCUGAUACGUAUUCCUUUGUAUUCCUUCAAAGAUUUGUGCAAUAAGUAUAUCUAUAUCUCCCCAAAACAAACCUCAGUUAGUUUUGCUGGUUUUUAAGCUUCCUGUACAGCAAAUUCCUACUGCAUGUAUUUUCCCAUGAUACACAUUAUGUGUAGGAGUUAUCUGUGGUGUGGGAGGCUGUCAUUCAUUCAUUUUUACGGCUGAAGGCUUACAUAUCGUUUUACCACAAUUUCACCAGUUUCCUAUUGAUGUACAUGUGGCCGAUUCCAGUUUUUGCCAUAAAUAUUAGUGUGCAUGUCUCCUGUGCACAUAGGCAAGAAAGCCCCAAAGCCCCCAGAGUGGAUGAUUAGGAAUGGGUUGGUUGCAUGAUACAUUGUAUGGACUUUAACCAUACUAGAUAAUGAUAAUAUGAUUUCCAAAGUAAUUGUGGCUACUUAAACUUUUACAAUAAAUGUGUAAUACUUGAUGUUGAUGAUGUGUUCUGAAAACACUGAGUUGAAGGAAUUGUGUUAAAAGUCACCGUCUUGGUGGUAGAAUUAUAGCAAGCAUUUUUAUUCUGUUAAUAACUUCCUGUUGUUUACUUGUUUCUCAUAUAAAAGACAUUAUGCUUUUGA